rnacentral:rRNA from 1 species
CAGUAGCCGCGGGAAAACGAAGGGGGCUAGCGUUGUUCGGAUUUACUGGGCGUAAAAGGGCGCGUAGGCGGACUGAUAAGUCAGGGGUGAAAUCCCAAGGCUCAACCUUGGAACUGCCUUUGAUACUGUUUGUCUUGAGUUCGAGAGAGGUAAGUGGAACUGCGAGUGUAGAGGUGAAAUUCGUAGAUAUUCGCAAGAACACCAGUGGCGAAGGCGGCUUACUGGCUCGAAACUGACGCUGAGGCGCGAAAGCGUGGGGAGCAAACAGGAUUAGAUACCCCCGUAGUCCCUGUCUCUUAUA